AGCAGCCGCGGUAAUUCCAGCUCCAAUAGCGUAUAUUAAAGUUGUUGCAGUUAAAAAGCUCGUAGUUGAAUUUCGGGACCAAUUUGUUGGUCGUGCCUCGGUACGUACUGGUAUUAUUGGUUUCUCCCUUCUGAAGAACCUCGAUGCCAUUAAUUUGGUGUCGUGGGGAAUCAGGACUGUUACUUUGAAAAAAUUAGAGUGUUUAAAGCAAGCAUACGCUUGAAUACAUUAGCAUGGAAUAAUGAAAUAGGACGUUUGAUUCUAUUUUGUUGGUUUCUAGGAUCGACGUAAUGAUUAAUAGGGGUAGUUGGGGGCAUUAGUAUUCAAUUGUCAGAGGUGAAAUUCUUGGAUUUAUUGAAGACUAACUACUGCGAAAGCAUUUGCCAAGGAUGUUUUCAUUAAUCAAAAACGAAAGUUAGGGGAUCGAAGACGAUCAGAUACCGUCGUAGUCUUAACCAUAAACUAUGCCGGCUAGGGAUCGGAUGAUGUUAAUUUUUAAUGACUCAUUCGGCGCCUUACG
rnacentral:rRNA from 1 species